UGGGGAAUAUUGGACAAUGGGCGAAAGCCUGAUCCAGCCAUGCCGCGUGUGUGAAGAAGGUCUUCGGAUUGUAAAGCACUUUAAGUUGGGAGGAAGGGCAGUAAGCGAAUACCUUGCUGUUUUGACGUUACCGACAGAAUAAGCACCGGCUAACUCUGUGCCAGCAGCCGCGGUAAUACAGAGGGUGCAAGCGUUAAUCGGAAUUACUGGGCGUAAAGCGCGCGUAGGUGGUUCGUUAAGUUGAAUGUGAAAGCCCCGGGCUCAACCUUGGAACUGCAUCCCAAACUGGCGAGCUAGAGUAGGGCAGAGGGUGGUGGAAUUUCCUGUGUAGCGGUGAAAUGCGUAGAUAUAGGAAGGAACACCAGUGGCGAAGGCGACCACCUGGGCUCAUACUGACACUGAGGUGCGAAAGCGUGGGGAGCAAACAGG
rnacentral:rRNA from 1 species